AGCGGCGGACGGGUGAGUAAUGCCUAGGAAUCUGCCUGGUAGUGGGGGAUAACGUCCGGAAACGGGCGCUAAUACCGCAUACGUCAUACGGGAGAAAGCAGGGGACUUUCGGGCCUUGCGCUAUCAGAUGAGCAUAGGUCGGAUUAGCUUGUUGGUGAGGUAAUGGCUCACCAAGGCUGCGAUCCGUAACUGGUCUGAGAGGAUGAUCAGUCACACUGGAACUGAGACACGGUCCAGACUCCUACGGGAGGCAGCAGUGGGGAAUAUUGGACAAUGGGCGAAAGCCUGAUCCAGCCAUGCCGCGUGUGUGAAGAAGGUCUUCGGAUUGUAAAGCACUUUAAGUUGGGAGGAAGGGUUGUAGAUUAAUACUCUGCAAUUUUGACGUUACCAACAGAAUAAGCACCGGCUAACUUCGUGCCAGCAGCCGCGGUAAUACGAAGGGUGCAAGCGUUAAUCGGAAUUACUGGGCGUAAAGCGCGCGUAGGUGGUUUGUCAAGUUGGAAGUGAAAGCCCCGGGCUCAACCUGGGAACUGCUUUCAAAACUGGCAAGCUAGAGUAUGGCAGAGGGUGGUGGAAUUUCCUGUGUAGCGGUGAAAUGCGUAGAUAUAGGAAGGAACAUCAGUGGCGAAGGCGACCACCUGGGCUAAUACUGACACUGAGGUGCGAAAGCGUGGGGAGCAAACAGGAUUAGAUACCCUGGUAGUCCACGCCGUAAACGAUGUCAACUAGCCGUUGGGUUCCUGAGAACUUAGUGGCGCAGCUAACGCAUAA
rnacentral:rRNA from 1 species